AUGAACGCUGGCGGCGUGCUUAACACAUGCAAGUCGAACGAUUAAAGCUCACUUCGGUGAGUGUAUAGAGUGGCGAACGGGUGAGUAACACGUGGGAAACCUGCCCCUUUCUUCGGGAUAACUUCGGGAAACCGUUGCUAAUACCGGAUACUCCGGGAUGGUCGCAUGGCCGACCCGGGAAAGCUUUAUGUGGAAAGGGAUGGUCCCGCGGCCCAUUAGCCUUGUUGGUGGGGUAAUGGCCUACCAAGGCGAUGAUGGGUAGCCG
rnacentral:rRNA from 1 species